GCCGGUAUAGCUCAGUUGGUAGAGCACCUGAUUUGUAAUCAGGGGGUCGCGGGUUCGACCCCUGCUGCCGGCACCA
rnacentral:tRNA from 1 species